CACGUAGGAGGCAAGCGUUAUUCGGAUUUACUGGGCGUAAAGCGCGUGCAGGCGGUUCGGUAAGUUGGAUGUGAAAGCUCCUGGCUUAACUGGGAGAGGUCGUUCAAUACUACCGAACUAGAGGAUGAGAGAGGGAGGUGGAAUUCCGAGUGUAGUGGUGGAAUGCGUAGAUAUUCGGAGGAACACCAGUGGCGAAAGCGGCCUCCUGGCUCAUAACUGACGCUCAGACGCGAAAGCUAGGGUAGCAAACGGGAUUAGAGACCCCGGUAGUCCUAGCCGUAAACUAUGUAGACUUGGCGUUGGUGGGGUAAAAUCCAUCAGUGCCGAAGCAAACGCGAUAAGUCUACCGCCUGGGGACUACGAUCGCAAGAUUAAA
rnacentral:rRNA from 1 species